AGAACGAACGCUGGCGGCAUGCCUAAUACAUGCAAGUCGAACGAACUCUUCGGAGUUAGUGGCGCACGGGUGCGUAACGCGUGGGAAUCUGCCCUUGGGUUCGGAAUAACAGUUGGAAACGACUGCUAAUACCGGAUGAUGACGAAAGUCCAAAGAUUUAUCGCCCAGGGAUGAGCCCGCGUAGGAUUAGCUAGUUGGUGAGGUAAAGGCUACACCAAGGCGACGAUCCUUAGCUGGUCUGAGAGGAUGAUCAGCCACACUGGGACUGAGACACGGCCCAGACUCCG
rnacentral:rRNA from 1 species